rnacentral:rRNA from 1 species
CCAAUAGCGUAUAUUAAAGUUGUUGCAGUUAAAAAGCUCGUAGUUGAAUUUCGGGAUCAAUAUGUUGGUCGUGCUUCGGUACGCACUGGCAUUAUUGGUUUCUACCUUCUGAAGAACCGCGAUGUCAUUAAUUUGGUGUCGUGGGGAAUCAGGACUGUUACUUUGAAAAAAUUAGAGUGUUUAAAGCAGGCUUACGCUUGAAUACAUUAGCAUGGAAUAAUGAAAUAGGACGUUUGAUUCUAUUUUGUUGGUUUCUAGGAUCGACGUAAUGAUUAAUAGGGAUAGUUGGGGGCAUUAGUAUUCAAUUGUCAGAGGUGAAAUUCUUGGAUUUAUUGAAGACUAACUACUGCGAAAGCAUUUGCCAAGGAUGUUUUCAUUAAUCAAGAACGAAAGUUAGGGGAUCGAAGACGAUCAGAUACCGUCGUAGUCUUAACCAUAAACUAUGCCGACUAGGGAUCGGAUGAUGUUAAUUUUUUAAUGACUCAUUCGGCGCCUUACG